AUACUUGGGGAUAUGCCUUUGCGUGGGGGAUAACUAUUGGAAACGAUAGCUAAUACCGCAUGAUGUCUACGGACCAAAGGGGGCUUUCGGGCUCUCGCGCAAUGAGUAACCCAAGCGAGAUUAGCUAGUUGGUGAGGUAAAGGCUCACCAAGGCGACGAUCUCUAGCUGUUCUGAGAGGAAGAUCAGCCACACUGGGACUGAGACACGGCCCAGACUCCUACGGGAGGCAGCAGUGGGGAAUAUUGCACAAUGGGGGAAACCCUGAUGCAGCCAUGCCGCGUGUGUGAAGAAGGCCUUCG
rnacentral:rRNA from 1 species